AUGGUGGCAGCCAGGCAGCGCAGGGUGCUGGCGUUGGCAGCGGUGCCCGCUCUCCCUCCCCUGGCACGGGGCUGCCCUCAAUGCGGCCGGUUGUCCUGCGCCGAGCCUACACGCGGGCUGCCGGCCUCCCCGAGCCCACUCGGAGCCGCAGGGACACAGAUCCCGCAUUGUCCCGAGCUCGGGGACAGGGCAGAGAAAAGAAACGCCCUGGAGUUUGCUCGGGUGAAGUCGGGCAGCUCUCAGGCCCCAAGCCCCCUCCUCCUGUGUCCCCCCCACCCCGUCACAACGAGGCAGGCAGCUGGGCGCAGCGCUUGGUCUGGGCUAAGAAAAAGCAACUCUGAUUAUCCAUCCACGAGAUUCGUGAGCAGGAGGAGCCUUCACAGGGCCGCAAGGCCCGCCGAGGAGAGCAGGGUCAAGAUCAGGACCAGCACCCCGGACUGCUGCACCUGGCUGAGCUUGAAGCCCUUCCCCAGGUCCCACGCCUGCAGGGAGAGAAGAAACAGAGCAGAGUUAAGGCACAGGGACACGGACAGACCCAGGUGGAGAGGCACCGCCCUGGUAAAAACUAGCAAAACCACCCCAAAAAACUGCCUGGACAUGAUGGGCGACGAACAGGCACAAGCAGCCGUCACUGCCAGGAACCAGGCAGGGGUCUUCGGGCUGUGCCAGAGGAAGCUGAUCCCCCCCCCAAAUCCCCCCAACCAGCAGCAAAGCUGCCCAGGAGCUGUCCCUAAUCCCCCCCAGCUGCAGCACGCCAGGUUUGCUCCAGAAGCAGCAGCUGCUCCCUGCUCGCUGCUCUGCUGCUGACAGAAAUAGGUUACGGAGCACGGCGCAGAGCCGAGGCCACGCUGACGUCCCCAGGGCAGAGCCAAGCAUUUGGGGGCCACCCUCAGCCCCCCAUGAGCACCUCUGGGGGACCCCAAAAGGCCCCCCAGAGCUGGCAGCCCCCAGGUGCUGCAGGCGGGUUCCCAUCUCCCACCUGAUUUUGGCUGCUGGGUGGCUGAGCAGAGCCAUGGAGCCGCCAGCCUGACCCCGCUCCCUGUUUAUUCCCGAGCUCAGCCGGGGGCUAACGCUGCUGGGUUCGUUCCCUGCUGCUUUAAUUGGCAGCCUCAUUUAAUUGUGCUGUCAGGGGCCUCAGCACGCCUUCAGCUCUCGACGCUCCAAGCCCAGAGCUGCUCACGACUGCUCCGUUUGCAGGAGGCUCGCGUCCUGCUCCGGGCCAGCUGCUUUGGCAAUUUGCUCCCCUAAAACCAGAGCGAGUCGGAGCUGCAGAAACACAGGAUUGUGCAGAAACAGAAACACAGGAUUGUGCAGGAACACAAAGCAGCACGUCUGCUGCUCUUCCCAGCAAGGAACCCUCGGCUCUGCAGCUCCCCCUCCUUCAUCAAACACAGGAAGCUCGGCUGAGCGGAGCUGCCGGUUGCACUGCAGCCCGGGGCAGACACCACGGGUUACUUUCCGUCACCAGUCCUCUGUGUUGUGUCUUCUGGGCUCGUUAAAUAGCUCAGCGUUAUUUAGGAGUAGGAGGAGGGGGAGGAUAAUGAGCAAAGGGGGGGGCGCUUCUGCCCGCACGGCCCCGCGGAGCAGGGGAUGCUGCAGCUGGCUGCGCCGCCCCGUGAAGCAUCAGCGUGGC
rnacentral:lncRNA from 1 species